rnacentral:rRNA from 1 species
CAGUAGCCGCGGUAAUACGGAGGGAGCUAGCGUUAUUCGGAAUUACUGGGCGUAAAGCGCACGCAGGCGGCUUUGUAAGUAAGAGGUGAAAGCCCGGAGCUCAACUCCGGAACUGCCUUUUAGACUGCAUCGCUUGAAUCCAGGAGAGGUGAGUGGAAUUCCGAGUGUAGGGGUGAAAUUCGUAGAUAUUCGGAAGAACACCAGUGGCGAAGGCGGCUCACUGGACUGGUAUUGACGCUGAGGUGCGAAAGCGUGGGGAGCAAACAGGAUUAGAUACCCGCGUAGUCCCUGUCUCUUAUAC